UUUUUAAAGUUUAAUUUUUUCUUCAUCUCUUCCAGGAAUUCUAUUGGAAUUUGUGCCAAAAUUGUGUGUUUUCUUCAAGACAUUGCUGAUAGAUGUUUUGGAGUCAUUCUCUUCUGUGUUUGUACCAUGAGCCUCUCUUCCAUCAAAACAUCUCAUCAUGGCAGCAGAAUUAGCCUGAAUUUUCCUCCACAAAGUCCUACACUGAAACUUCAUUGUUGCCUGGAGAUGACCCUGAGUUUUCAAAAGUGAUUACCAAACAAGAUUAUUGCAUUUUUGGUGCCAAGAUUUGUUACUGUGAAUGAAAUGAUUGAGAAAUUCUAUGAAGAUUUUGAUAAGACUUUCCAAAAUAAAGUCAAUAUGCACUUUAAUACUUGGUGACUUCAGUACAAAGGUUGGAAAAGAUUGUACAGUUUGCAGAAGAACCAUCUGUGAUACAGCGGAAAAAAGCACUUAGACUGGAAGUCAGGAAGUCUCAGUUCUGGUCCCAGCUGUGCCACUGUUGUUUGACUUUGGGUAAGUCCCUUCACCUCUGUAUAAAAUGGGAAGACUGGACACCACAUUCUCUAAAGAUUGC
rnacentral:lncRNA from 1 species